rnacentral:tRNA from 1 species
GGAGAAAUGGCUGAGUGGUUUAAAGCGGUAGAUUGCUAAUCUAUUGUAUGAAAUUUUGAUUCAUACCAAGGGUUCAAAUCCCUUUUUCUCCU